rnacentral:piRNA from 1 species
CAAGGCAUUAAUGAACAUUGAAGAUACAA